CACGUAGGGGGCAAGCGUUGUCCGGAUUUACUGGGCGUAAAGCGCGCGUAGGCGGCUUGUUAGGUUCCACUGUGAAAGGCAGGGGCUCAACCCCUGGAUUGCGGGGAAAACCGGCAGGCUGGAGAGAGGCAGAGGAAGGUGGAAUGGCUGGUGGAGCGGUGAAAUGCGUAGAGAUCAGCCGGAACACCCAAGGCGAAGGC
rnacentral:rRNA from 1 species